CCCACUUUCUGUUGUGUCCUUCU
rnacentral:sRNA from 1 species